AAAUUGAAGAGUUUGAUCAUGGCUCAGAUUGAACGCUGGCGGCAGGCCUAACACAUGCAAGUCGAACGGUAACAGGAAGAAGCUUGCUUCUUUGCUGACGAGUGGCGGACGGGUGAGUAAUGUCUGGGAAACUGCCUGAUGGAGGGGGAUAACUACUGGAAACGGUAGC
rnacentral:rRNA from 1 species